CUGCACAUCUGAAAAUGUAGUUACAUAUCGCUUGUCAUCACCUUGCGACUUCAAAAAAUAAAAUAAAAAUACAGGCAUAAAAUCAGAACCUGGAUACAGACAUUGUCGAGCAGCGUACGAUUUAACUCCAAUUAUUCCUCGCUGAUACCGAUCAUCGAAUGACGUAGGGACAUAAAAGAAACACAGAACAAAAAGAACGAAGAGAAGGUGCAGAUCUAUCUUCGAUGAUAAAGAAACACAACUGAAAUCGGACUUUAGCAAUGACGGAUUCAUGCCUCUACAUCAACGUGGCAAAUCUUUAAGAUAUUCUUCGAUCUGUGUUUUCAAUGGAAUUUUAACAAACAUGUUGUAGACAAACAAUGAAGGAGUGACCGAGAAGCGCCAUGGCCUGGGCAUUAGCGAGCAAAUCCAAACCUCAUCAUCCCACGAUGUCAGUCAUUGUUAUCAGGCAUGCUCGCAUAGAUUCAACUCUAAAUUGAUCAGGAACAUUGUAUUCUAGCUCCUCUUUUCACUGAAACAGGGUAUACUCGGGCAAACACGUACCCGUUGCACCGGAGCCGUUCUGCUACGACCGAAGCUUGGAUUGAUGAAUAAAACCUUCACAGCCGUCUAAGAACAGACCCACCACAGAAUCGAGCGUACUCCGGCACAACAACACAACCGCGGACAAUGGUGAUUCGAAGCGCCUGGAAUGACGAACAACGACUGAUGGCAGUGGUUCGGCAGCAACUCUCAACGUUCGGCUAGCCCACGAUGGCGAGGAAUCCUCCUCUCUUCCUUGCAAGACCUCCUCGUCUUCUCUUCCGUUCGUCCUUCUGCAGCGAAGCUCAGCCUUCUAGAACAGUCGGGCUCGCUCUCGUCACUCUCGCUGUUGAUCUCCUCGCGUCACAGAAGCUAGUUUUCUCUCGGUCAUGGUCGUGUCUUCUUUGCCAUUUUUC
rnacentral:lncRNA from 1 species